AUGGCUCAGGAUGAACGCUGGCGGCGUGCCUAAUACAUGCAAGUCGAGCGAAUGGAUUAAGAGCUUGCUCNNNNNAAGUUAGCGGCGGACGGGUGAGUAACACGUGGGUAACCUGCCCAUAAGACUGGGAUAACUCCGGGAAACCGGGGCUAAUACCGGAUAACAUUUUGAACUGCAUGGUUCGAAAUUGAAAGGCGGCUUCGGCUGUCACUUAUGGAUGGACCCGCGUCGCAUUAGCUAGUUGGUGAGGUAACGGCUCACCAAGGCAACGAUGCGUAGCCGACCUGAGAGGGUGAUCGGCCACACUGGGACUGAGACACGGCCCAGACUCCUACGGGAGGCAGCAGUAGGGAAUCUUCCGCAAUGGACGAAAGUCUGACGGAGCAACGCCGCGUGAGUGAUGAAGGCUUUCGGGUCGUAAAACUCUGUUGUUAGGGAAGAACAAGUGCUAGUUGAAUAAGCUGGCACCUUGACGGUACCUAACCAGAAAGCCACGGCUAACUACGUGCCAGCA
rnacentral:rRNA from 2 species